GAAGCAGGCCAGGCCGCCGCUGAUGCCAAGGUGGCAACACAGGCAUUGGAGGAACGUCCGGACUGCACAGGGCAGCGUAGCAGGUAACACCUGCCCACCGUGAGGUGAGGAUCAGAGCAACAGAGACGAGUCGCCCCGCAGCGCGCUGCGGGGCGGGUGAAACGGGCAAUCUCUACGCGCAGCAAUACCAAAUAGGCAUGCGAUGAACUGGCUCCGGCGAGCAUGCGGGUAGGUAGCACCGAGCUGGCAGGGCGACCUGCCAGCCCAGAUUAAUGGCGGCCACGCGGCCAUGCACAUGGCCGUGCACAGAAUCCGGCGUAUCGGCCUGCUUCACAC
rnacentral:RNase_P_RNA from 1 species